UACAGAGGGGGCAAGCGUUAUUCGGAAUUAUUGGGCGUAAAGGGCGCGUAGGCGGCCUGGCAAGUGGAUGGUGAAAUCCCUCGGCUUAACCGAGGAACUGCCAUCCAGACUGCUUGGCUUGAGACCGGGAGAGGUGAGUGGAAUUCCCAGUGUAGCGGUGAAAUGCGUAGAUAUUGGGAGGAACACCAGUGGCGAAGGCGGCUCACUGGACCGGUACUGACGCUGAGGAGCGAAAGCCAGGGGAGCAAACGGG
rnacentral:rRNA from 1 species